CCCGCCAACCGCCACCUCAGCACCUGGAGCAGAGGCCAGAGGGUUGCCCAUGCGCAGAGAUGGGGCUGAAACCACAGCCGAGCCCCAGGGCUCCACGGCUUAGAAGGCAGGUUUAAAACCUCUCCCUGCUGCCAGGGCCAGCUUCCUAUCCUGGACAUCUGUGGAGCUCAUGGAAGAGCCACCAGUUCCUUCAGCAUCAUCCUCUAAGCACUGGAAAAAUGAAACCAGCCCAGAGAGGUUUCCCCAGGGAACCUUGCAGAAGCUGGCCCUGGACUCCAGGACUGACGCUGCUCCCCAAUAGGGCUGCCACCACCCUUCAUCAAAGGAGUUGCAGAGUCUUCUUCCUAGGGGUUUACAUUUUAUUUUUUGUUCGUUUUGUUUUUUAUUUUUUAACUGAAGUAUAGUUGA